rnacentral:rRNA from 1 species
UCCUACGGGAGGCAGCAGUAAGGAAUAUUCCACAAUGAGCGAAAGCUUGAUGGAGCGACACAGAGUGCAGGAUGAAGUCUUUAGGGAUGUAAACUGCUGUUGUAAGGGAAGAAAAGACUAGAUAGGAAAUGAUUUAGUCUUGACGGUACCUUAUUAGAAAGUGACGGCAAACUAUGUGCCAGCAGCCGCGGUAAUACAUAGGUCGCAAGCGUUAUCCGGAAUUAUUGGGCGUAAAGCGUCCGCAGGUUUUUUGUUAAGUUUAAGGUUAAAUGCUAAAGCUCAACUUUAGUUCGCUUUAGAUACUGACAAAAUAGAAUUAUGAAGAGGUUAGCGGAAUUCCUAGUGGAGCGGUGGAAUGCGUAGAUAUUAGGAAGAACACCAAUAGGCGAAGGCAGCUAACUGGUCAUAUAUUGACACUAAUGGACGAAAGCGUGGGGAGCAAACAGGAUUAGAUACCCUGGUAGUCC